rnacentral:misc_RNA from 1 species
UCUGCAAAGUAGGGCCGUGUAACUUGCUGGAGGAGAAUCGCGUAAUCUUGUUUUGGCACAGAAAGUUACACGGGUCUGUGCCAACUACACGGGCCAUGUACUAUUGUUCUCAUAAGGUUCUUCAAGCUUGCGCUCAGCAGAGACUUACACGGGUCCCUGCAGAUUACACGGGUUUAUUUACACGACCCGUGUACUUGUGUU